AUGGCGAAGGAGCAGGACCAGAAGGCCCACUCCCAAGCUGAUAAAAGACUGCCGAGUGUGCGGGAACAGCGCCAGGUGGGCCGCAGGCCGCAGCAAGCUGUGCUGCCAGGCAGACAGAGCCAGGAUUUGUCUGUCCGUGGGAUCCAACUGCCACCACUGCCCCACCCAGCACAAGCCUCUGGGAGCCGCCGUGCACAGGCGGACAGACCGGAGCUCAGGCAGGGACUGCCCCGCAGCAGUGGCUCUGGGGAAGGGAGACGGCCUCUGCCAGCCUUGCCGCCUCUCCCACAGGGGGCGCUGUCACUGCCAGCUGCGCCCCAGAAUGCAGCCACUGCUCGGGGACAAGUUCACACCUUGUCCACACUGCCACCAAUAGCCUCCAGAAGUUUUCCAAGAGGCAGAGCUGCCAGUGCUGUGAGAGCUACCACCAGCAGAGUGGCUGUCCCAGGUCUUCAGGACAACCCUCAGCCCCAGGAAACGGCAGUGAGGGCCGAGGGCUGGCAGGCAGAUCUAUCUGUCCCUGCACUCCCCCUCAGGCCUGCAGAGAAGACACCCGAGUCCCUCAGGCUGGCGUAUCGGAUGCGUCCAGCAGCCAUAAGAUCAGGACCCUGGCUGAAACCAGCACAACCUAGACAACGUGCACCCACCAGCACUGUAAGAACACCGGCACGAAGAACCCAGGUGCUGGCCCCCAAGGCUGGGAAAGUCACUGAGAAUGAGACGCAACGUGCUGCCAGUGCUCAGGAGGACAGCGGAGAUGCUCACAGGGUCUCUACAUCACGCUCCCUGGCAGCAGAGCAGGCAGCAGAGAAGGAAGCAGAGCAGGCAGCAGAGCAGGCAGCAGACAAUGGUGCCAAAGAUGCCGAAGACAGCAAAGAGAGGGCCCGCUCUGCCAGGAGAGGGGACAGGUUCCUGCCCUGCUCUCUUUGCUGUUCCACCUACAGCGCUGUUGGCAAAGAUGAGCAGGAUGAGGGGAAAGACACCUCUGGGAGAGACGCUAUGUCAGUGGCAGGAAAGGAGCCUGUGAGCACAUCAUUUCCUGGGGCAGAGGCCCUGCCUCCAGCGUCUUCAGUGCCUGGAAACCUUCAGCAUGAUGAGGACAGCCUGGAGAUCAGGGACACAUUCACCCACAGCAGCACGCCAGGGGAGGGGAGACAGCCUCUGCCAACUUGUGGACCAUCCCUGUGUGUCCCUGCACCCCCUCUCAAGCCUGCACAUGCCACACGCAAAUCCUACAAUUUGACAUACAGAAGGCGUCCUGUAGCCACCAGACCUAGACCCUGCCGGAAACCAGCAAGUCCAAGGCAGAGUGCACCCACCAGCACUGAGGAAACAGCAGCACAAGCAACGCAGUUGCUGGCCCCCCAGGUUGGGAGCAGCCCCACACAUCAGACACCACCUGCUCCCAGUGCUCAGGAGGGCAGUAAAGAUGCUGUCAAGGCCCCUGAAUCACAUUCCCAGGAGGCAGAGCAGGCAGCAGAAGGUGGUGCCAGAGCUGCUGGCACUCCUCAGGACAUGCUGGUUGAAAAGGAUGAUGAAGAAAGGGCAUGUUCCAGCAAGAGAGGGGGCAUGUUCCUGCCCUUCUUUCUUUGCUGCUCCACCUCCACCUCCACCAGUUCUCUGAUGGAUGAGGUGGAAGACGAGGAAGAGAGCGUAGACAUUCCUAUUUGGGAGGGAUCACAUAGUUAUUCCUCAACACAUCUUGAUGACCAAGAAAACAUAGAAGAUAACAGGCAGUAG
ensembl:lncRNA